rnacentral:tRNA from 1 species
GGAGAGGUGUCCGAGUUGGCCUAAGGAGCACGACUGGAAAUCGUGUUUCCCGACAAAAAUCGGGAACGCGGGUUCGAAUCCCGCCCUCUCCG